UGUUUACUGCGUGAGGGAUUGCAAUGAAAAUCCUUUUUGUUCCUUCGGCUUUGCUUAGGGCAAACAAAAAGAUUGUUAUGAAAAGCCCGGCCCUUU
rnacentral:sRNA from 1 species